rnacentral:rRNA from 1 species
CGGGCGGGACGGGUGAGUAACGCGUGGGUAACCUACCCUGUACACACGGAUAACAUACCGAAAGGUAUGCUAAUACGGGAUAAUAUAUUUGAGAGGCAUCUCUUGAAUAUCAAAGGUGAGCCAGUACAGGAUGGACCCGCGUCUGAUUAGCUAGUUGGUAAGGUAACGGCUUACCAAGGCGACGAUCAGUAGCCGACCUGAGAGGGUGAUCGGCCACAUUGGAACUGAGACACGGUCCAA